UACGUAGGGUGCGAGCGUUAAUCGGAAUUACUGGGCGUAAAGCGUGCGUAGGCGGUUCGUUAAGUUCGUUGUGAAAGCCCCGGGCUCAACCUGGGAAUGGCAAUGGAAACUGGCGGGCUUGAGUUCGGGAGAGGAGCGUGGAAUUCCCAGUGUAGAGGUGAAAUUCGUAGAUAUUGGGAAGAACACCGGUGGCGAAGGCGGCGCUCUGGACCGAGACUGACGCUGAGGCGCGAAAGCGUGGGGAGCAAACAGG
rnacentral:rRNA from 1 species